UACGUAGGCAGCAAGCGUUGUUCGGAGUUACUGGGCGUAAGGGGUGUGUAGGCGGUUCUUUAAGUUUGGUGUGAAAUCUCCCGGCUCAACUGGGAGGGUGCGCCGAAUACUGAGGGACUAGAGUACGGGAGAGGAAAGUGGAAUUCCUGGUGUAGCGGUGAAAUGCGUAGAUAUCAGGAGGAACACCGGUGGUGUAGACGGCUUUCUGGACCGACACUGACGCUGAGACACGAAAGCGUGGGUAGCAAACAGG
rnacentral:rRNA from 1 species